CUUCAUUUUUCUUUUGUUCUAUUUUCUUUUUCUUUUUUAAAAGAAAAAGAACACAAGACUGAAUAUCAUCAACAGCAAUAUGUGCAGAACAAGCCAUGUCUGUAAGGGGCAAACUUCAGUGAAGUAGCCACUUUCCCCUUUGCAUAAGGUUUGCAUUGAUGUGUGUGGGAGCUGAGGUGAGUGUGCAUGGAGCUGAGGUGAGUGUGCAUGGAGCUGAGGUGAGUGUGCGUGGAGCUGAGUGUGCAUGGAGCUGAGGUGAGUGUGUGUGGAGCUGAGUGUGCAUGGAGCUGAGCUGAGUGUGCAUGGAGCUGAGGUGAGUGUGUGUGGAAGUGGCAGACUGACAACUUAUUCUGUCUAGGAAAUGGUGUGAAGGUCGAGUGCUUAAUAACCGGGCCAAACACAUUCAUCU